rnacentral:rRNA from 1 species
AUUGAACGCUGGCGGCAUGCCUUACACAUGCAAGUCGAACGGCAGCGCGGGAGCAAUCCUGGCGGCGAGUGGCGAACGGGUGAGUAAUACAUCGGAACGUGCCCAAUCGUGGGGGAUAACGCAGCGAAAGCUGUGCUAAUACCGCAUACGAUCUACGGAUGAAAGCAGGGGAUCGCAAGACCUUGCGCGAAUGGAGCGGCCGAUGGCCGAUUAGGUAGUUGGUGAGGUAAAGGCUCACCAAGCCUUCGAUCUGUAGCUGGUCUGAGAGGACGACCAGCCACACUGGGACUGAGACACGGCCCAGACGCCUACGGGAGGCAGCAGUGGGGAAUUUUGGACAAUGGGCGAAAGCCUGAUCCAGCCAUGCCGCGUGCAGGAUGAAGGCCUUCGGGUUGUAAACUGCUUUUGUACGGAACGAAACGGUCUUUUCUAAUAAAGAAGGCUAAUGACGGUACCGUAAGAAUAAGCACCGGCUAACUACGUG